UCCCUUCCUAGAGUCCAGCGGAUCGGGACCGAUUUCGAAGUUGCUAUAUUUACGGCUGUCCGCAUGCACUUUCUGGAUUGUCAGCACUUUGGCUGCAAUUUCCACUGGUGCCAUGCCGUUCUGAAAAUGAUCCGGGAUCUUCACCUUGCCAACCUCUACAACAACAAGGGACCGAAUACAGUGCGAGACUUUGUGUUUCGCCUGCUAUGCCUUGUACAUCUUCCUGCUGGUAAAAUUCCUAGCGUGUUGGAUGCGUUGAAGAGCUCGGUGCCUAGCGAACUUCCAGCACUCAUGGAAUAUAUGGAGCGGAAUUGGAUUAGUGGCAUAUUCUGGACUCCGGAGAACUGAUCAUGCUUCAACAUCUUAACGUGUACCAAUAACGACUGUGAAGGAAUGCACCACCAAUAGAAGAAGUUGGCAGGCGGAUCUAAUUUAAAAUUCUACAAGAUUACAAUGGUAUUGCGGAAACUGGCCGAAGAAGAAUCCCUUACUAGAACGCUACUCUGCCGUGACAAAAUAAGGGCUCCCCGGAAAAAAAGGGCCCAACUAAGAAUUCCGUACUGUUCCAGCUUUGAGCGCGCUAUCAAGAU